GACGAACGCUGGCGGCGUGCUUAACACAUGCAAGUCGAACGGAAAGGCCCUGCUUUUGUGGGUUGCUCGAGUGGCGAACGGGUGAGUAACACGUGAGUAACCUGCCCUUGUCUUUGGGAUAUCUUCUGGAAACUGGGGCUAAUACCGGAUAGGAGCUCCUGCUGCAUGGUGGGGGUUGGAAAGUUUCGGCGGUUGGGGAUGGUCUCGCGGCUUAUCAGCUUGUUGGUGGGGUAGUGGCUUACCAAGGCUUUGACGGGUAGCCGGCCUGAGAGGGUGACCGGCCACAUUGGGCCUGCGAUACGGCCCAGACUCCUACGGGAGGCAGCGGUGGGGAAUAUUGCACAAUGGGCGGAAGCCUGAUGCAGCAACGCCGCGUGCGGGAUGACGGCCUUCGGGUUGUAAACCGAUUUCGCAUUAGACGAAGCGUGAGUGACGGUAAUGGGUAAAGAAGCACCGGCUAACUACGUG
rnacentral:rRNA from 1 species